rnacentral:rRNA from 1 species
CACGUAGGGCGCGAGCGUUGUCCGGAAUUAUUGGGCGUAAAGAGCUCGUAGGCGGUUUGUUGCGUCGGCUGUGAAAUCCCGAGGCUCAACCUCGGGUCUGCAGUCGAUACGAGCAAACUAGAGUGUUGCAGGGGAGACUGGAAUUCCUGGUGUAGCGGUGAGAUGCGCAGAUAUCAGGAGGAACACCGGUGGCGAAGGCGGGUCUCUGGGCAACAACUGACGCUGAGGAGCGAAAGCGUGGGGAGCGAACAGG